CCUACGGGUGGCAGCAGUGGGGGAUAUUGCACAAUGGAGGAAACUCUGUUGCAGCAACGCCGCUUGAGGGAAGAAGGUCUUCGGAUUGUAAACCUCUGUCCUCAGGGACGAUAAUGACGGUACCUGAGGAGGAAGCUCCGGCUAACUACGUGCCACCAGCCGCGGUCAUACGUAGGGAGCAAGCGUUGUCCGGAUUUACUGGGUGUAAAGGGUGCGUAGGCGGCGCUGCAAGUCAGGUGUGAAAACUAUGGGCGUAACUCAUAGAUUGCACUUGAAACUGUGGGGCUUGAGUGAAUAAGAGGCAGGGGGAAUUCCCAGUGUAGCGGUGAAAUGCGUAGAUGUCGUGAAGAAAACCAGUGGCGAAGGCGGCCUGCUAGGCUUUAACUGACGCUGAGGCACGAAAGCGUGGGUAGCAAACAGGAUUGGAUACCCCGGUAGUC
rnacentral:rRNA from 1 species